GCUAGAGAGAAAACUGAUCUGGGAAUAACUAUUCAAAACUAGUUAUGGCAAUGCAGAUUUCUAAGAAAACAACAUUUCACAAGAGUGAGAAGAAAAAAUGGUAAGAUACUGAAAAAUACUCAAUCUUAAAGUCUGCCUAAUCUCAGUUGCUACUCACUUUAGAUAUACUGAUCUCAACCCACAGAAGGAAUUUUUUUUAAAAGAAGGUACUGUACUAACUUUUUACAUUACAAAAUCUGGCUCAGUUGCAAUCCAGACAUCCAACAGAGCAGGUCUCCUUUGGACUCCUUGGGAAUGGAUUUUUACCACAGAGAAGAAAUGAGUAGAGAGCUCAAGCUGGCUUUUCUCCUUCUGUGGAGACUUGUACUUGCUCCAGGGCUGCUCAUGGACCCCAGCUUUUAUACCUGUGAGGAAAUGGGAACAUGGAA
ensembl:lncRNA